UAGGAAUCUGCCUGGUAUGGGGGACAACGUUUCGAAAGGAACGCUAAUACCGCAUACGUCCUACGGNGAAAGCAGGGACCUUCGGGCCUUGCGCUAUCAGAUGAGCCUAGGUCGGAUUAGCUAGUUGGUGAGGUAAUGGCUCACCAAGGCGACGAUCCGUAACUGGUCUGAGAGGAUGAUCAGUCACACUGGAACUGAGACACGGUCCAGACUCCUACGGGAGGCAGCAGUA
rnacentral:rRNA from 1 species